UUAGCCGUUUCCCGUGAAAUCGGGAGUUUAAGUGGCCAGUAAGCGGGCGACCCGGAUUGGCAGAGGAUCACUCUUCAGGAGACGGUGAUUCGCUCCUUCCCCCGAUAGAGGGUCGGGUGGAAAAUUCUUGGUUUGCAUAUGUUCCACCGGCUGUUUAGCCGGUACCCACUUAACCACACAUAGAGUGCAUUCCUCUUCCCUCUCCAGGUCUCCAGAGGAUCGAGAGAGCCGUGAGCGGGCACACACCAGCUCACCCUACCUCUCCUCUAUCGCCAGCGGGUGUUCUGAGGAGUCCGAGCCCUCCACUGAGGAGACCGGACAACCAUCACCCUCAUCGGAGUCUGUGCUCUCCGCAGAGGAGACCAGACGACCGUCACCUUCAGCGGGCUCAGAUGCUGCGUGGAAUGACAAUGUGGUUUGGAACAGACUUGGUGAAGAACAUGGAAACAUCUCUUAAUAAAAUGGCCCCAAACAUCAUCAGGAGUGCAAAAGAAGGAAGUAAAAAACAUCUCUACGCCAAUCUCAUUGGAGAGGAAACCACAGAAGGUCUGGUGAGAAAUGCUGCACUUAUGUUAUUGCAAGCAUUAUUUCAAGAAAAUCCCAGCUUCCUUGACUGUGUAAAUAGUGAACCCAAAGGUCCCACACCAACCAUAGUGUUCAACGGCUCUCCUGAUCUUCUUAAAUCUGAAAGUAUCAACUUUAUAAUGGACAAUGUGAACUUAAUAUGUGGAAGACAUUGACAUCACAGGCUGUGGAAUGACUGUGUCACAGGUCGGAGAAGCGGACCGCCCCUGUCGCGGAUCACGCUCCUCCUAGUUCCACCUCGAGGAGGUCCCAAAGCACCCCAAUGACCAGACAAACCAGAGAUAAGUAAAAUAUAGAAAUAGAAACUUUAUUUAAAUUAUUUAAAACUAAAGUGGGGAAUGGGAAAGGGAAUCUAAAAAUCUCGCUUCUCGCCCUCAGGGGGAGUAUUACGGGGCCAGGGACGUUGGAGGGGUUUCCAAGUGACUCCAGCUGGAACACCGCUACAGAGCGUAUCUGGGUGGGUUGGGCACACACCGUCGCGGCGGCCCCUGAUGGCAUCCACAAGGGUCCAAGACCCUCCUAAGCUCCUAGCCGUAGCAGAACUACGUAUUUCAGCACCCGAAGGACUAACAACCCAGCCGGCAUCUGCAGCGUAUAUCCAACGCGAUCAAACUUCACUCUGACAAGUAACUUCCUAUACACAACCACGCCGUCCUUUCGCCCGGACCAGCCCCACACUCUUUCCGCCCGCUACCUAGUGGUCGCCGGAUCAGCAGAGCCUGCGGACUCUUCGGAGGCUGGUCUUCGUUGUGCUGCCCAAGGCGGAAGUUGACUCGCCCGAAAAUCGACCCUUCCAGUAACUUCUAACUUCUCUCUUUAUAUCCUCCUCCAUGGCGUGGCUCGCCCAACCAUCGCUCGCCACGUCACUCACACAGCUGUGCCUUGUUUUAGCGAGUGCGGGGAUUCCCAGGGAACCCUGAAGUGCCGGUGUCUCUACAAACCGGUCCGGGCGGAACCUCUUCACUCUCCUUUUGGUUCCGCCCCGCAUAGUCACUCCGUGACAACUGUUUGCGUUUUUUUUUCUCCUCAAUGUUCAAUACCCUUUUGCCAUUAAGCACACAGUGACUUUAAUUUAUAAAAUAUAUGCUUAAGUUUUAAUACCUGUACAAAACAAAUGUACAAUCAACUUGUGUAAAUUGUCAU